rnacentral:sRNA from 1 species
GGUAGGUUCAGAGGAGUUCUGGAAGCAUCAGAAAUCCCAUGACUGGGCCCUCAUCUUUGUGUCCCACGGAGCCGGAGAGCACUGUGGCCGCUAUGAAGAGCUGGCUCGGAUGCUGAUGGGGCUGGACCUGCUGGUGUUUGCCCACGACCAUGUUGGCCACGGACAGAGUGAAGGGGAGAGGAUGGUAGUGUCUGACUUCCACAUUUUCGUCAGAGAUGUGUUGCAGCAUGUGGAUUCCAUGCAGAAAGACUACCCUGGGCUUCCUGUCUUCCUUCUGGGCCACUCCAUGGGAGGCGCCGUCGCCAUCCUCACGGCCGCAGAGAGGCCGGGCCACUUCGCCGGCAUGGUACUCAUUUCGCCUCUGGUUCUUGCCAAUCCUGAAUCUGCAACAACUUUCAAGGUCCUUGCUGCAAAAGUUCUCAACCUUGUGCUGCCAAACUUGUCCC